AGUGCAAGCCCCUCAAUCCCCAGAAGAGGCACCAGGAACUGCAGGAGAUGCUGUCUCCAUGGAGAGCAGGGCAGCAGGUUCACCUUCUGUCUCCCUGGAAAUGCGCCUGGCUUCACUUUCCUCUCGUAAGUACUUGCAUAGCAUUGUUAGAUAAAUGUUAUGUGUGUGUGUGCGUGCGCAUUUAAACAUACACACGUAUGUGAUUUUACUGUAUAUGAAGUUAAUUUAUCACAUACAUGUAUUUCAGACCAUCCGCAACUUGUCGACCUUCCUUCACCACGGAUGAGUGUGGUUUCCCUCCAACAGCUGGCCACUGGUGUCCAGGAUCCAAUGCUGAGCGUAAGUAAAAAAUGCUU